rnacentral:rRNA from 1 species
GCUGGCGGCGUGCCUAACACAUGCAAGNCGAACGGGGGUAGCAAUACCUCAGUGGCGAMCGGGUGCGUAACACGUGAAGAAUUUGUCCAACGGUGGGGGAUAGCCGGCCCAACGGCCGGGUAAUACCGCGUACGCCCGUCGAGCGGCAUCGCUUGACGGGGAAAGUCGCAAGACGCCGAUGGAGAACUUCGCGGCCUAUCAGCUAGUUGGUGAGGUCAUGGCUCACCAAGGCGACGACGGGUAGCUGGUCCGAGAGGAUGACCAGCCACAUUGGGACUGAGACACGGCCCAGACUCCUACGGGAGGCAGCAGUGGGGAAUAUUGCGCAAUGGGCGAAAGCCUGACGCAGCGACGCCGCGUGUGGGAUGACGGCCUUCGGGUUGUAAACCACUUUCGGGAGGGACGAAGAUCUGACGGUACCUCCAAAGGAAGCACCGGCUAACUCUGUGCCAGCAGCCGCGGUAAUACAGAGGGUGCGAGCGUUGUCCGGAAUCACUGGGCGUAAAGGGCGCGUAGGCGGCCUGGUAAGUAGGGGGUGAAAUCUCGCGGCUCAACUGCGAGGCUGCCUCCUAAACUGUCAGGCUCGAGCA